rnacentral:rRNA from 1 species
UACAGAGGUCUCAAGCGUUGUUCGGAUUCAUUGGGCGUAAAGGGUGCGUAGGUGGCGCGGUAAGUCGGGUGUGAAAUUUCGGAGCUUAACUCCGAAACUGCAUUCGAUACUGCCGUGCUUGAGGACUGGAGAGGAGACUGGAAUUCUCGGUGUAGCGGUGAAAUGCGUAGAUAUCGAGAGGAACACCUGCGGCGAAGGCGGGUUGCUGGGCUGACACUGACGCUGAUGCGCGAAAGCCAGGGGAGGCGAACGGG